rnacentral:tRNA from 1 species
UUAUAAUUGGUGUAAAUUGCACUAAAGUUUUUGAUACUUUAAGAAAUAGAUAAAAUCUAUUAAUAUAAA